rnacentral:rRNA from 1 species
UACGGAGGGUGCAAGCGUUAUCCGGAUUCACUGGGUUUAAAGGGUGCGUAGGUGGGUUGGUAAGUCAGUGGUGAAAUCCCCGAGCUUAACUUGGGAACUGCCAUUGAUACUAUCAGUCUUGAAUACCGUGGAGGUCAGUGGAAUAUGUCAUGUAGCGGUGAAAAUGCUUAGAUAUGACAUAGAACACCAAUUGCGAAGGCAGCUGGCUACACGAAUAUUGACACUGAGGCACGAAAAGCGUGGGGGAUCAAAACAGG